GCUUCGAUACUGGGAGGCUAGAGUUGGUAGAGGUAAGUGGAAUCCAGGUGUAGCGGUGAAAUGCGUAGAUAUCUGGAGGAACAUCAGUGGCGAAGGCGGCUUACUGGACCAAAACUGACGCUGAGGUACGAAAGCGUGGGUAGCAAACAGGAUUAGAUACCCUGGUAGUCCACGCCCUAAACGAUGAGAACUAGUUGUUGGGAGCCCUUAAUAGCUCUUAGUAACGAAGCUAACGCGUUAAGUUCUCCGCCUGGGGAGUACGGCCGCAAGGUUGAAACUCAAAGGAAUUGACGGGGGCCCGCACAAGCGGUGGAGCAUGUGGUUUAAUUCGAUGCAACGCGAAGAACCUUACCAGCCCUUGACAUCCUCGGAACUUACUAGAGAUAG
rnacentral:rRNA from 1 species